GCUUAACACAUGCAAGUCGAGCGAGAAUCGUUUUGCUGAAGGCUUCGGUCUGACGCAGAAUGAGGAAAGCGGCGAACGGGUGAGUAACGCGUGGGCAACCUGGCCUUAAGAAAAGGAUAGCCCCCGGAAACGGGGAGUAAUACUUUAUGAGAAUGAAAGAGGGCAUCCUGUUUCUAUUCAAAACGCAAGCGGUUAAGGAUGGGCCCGCGUAUCAUUAGCUAGUUGGUGAGAUAACAGCCCACCAAGGCAACGAUGAUUAGCCGGUCUGAGAGGGCGAACGGCCACAUUGGAACUGAGAGACGGUCCAAACUCCUACGGGAGGCAGCAGUGGGGAAUAUUGCGCAAUGGAGAAGAACUCUGACGCAGCAAUACCGCGUGAGCGAAGAAGGUCUUCGGAUCGUAAAGCUCUGUUAUCAGGGAAGAAGAAAAUGACGGUACCUGAUGAGCAAGUCCCGGCUAACUACGUGCCAGCCGCCGCCGUAACAC
rnacentral:rRNA from 1 species